rnacentral:rRNA from 1 species
UGGGGAAUAUUGGACAAUGGGCGAAAGCCUGAUCCAGCCAUGCCGCGUGUGUGAAGAAGGUCUUCGGAUUGUAAAGCACUUUAAGUUGGGAGGAAGGGCAUUAACCUAAUACGUUAGUGUUUUGACGUUACCGACAGAAUAAGCACCGGCUAACUCUGUGCCAGCAGCCGCGGUAAUACAGAGGGUGCAAGCGUUAAUCGGAAUUACUGGGCGUAAAGCGCGCGUAGGUGGUUUGUUAAGUUGGAUGUGAAAUCCCCGGGCUCAACCUGGGAACUGCAUUCAAAACUGACUGACUAGAGUAUGGUAGAGGGUGGUGGAAUUUCCUGUGUAGCGGCGAAAUGCGUAGAUAGAGGAAGGAGCACCAGGGGCGAAGGCGACCACCUGGACUAAUACUGACACUGAGGUGCGAAGGCGUGGGGAGCAAACA